AAACCUGGAAGGAACAGAGAGGUGCACAUGGUAAAUAUCAGGCCUCCAGCAGAGCGGGGCAGUAGUUGCCUGGACAGCCACAGACCCUGCAGUUCAAAUAGCUAUUUCAGAUCACUCACAGGUGAGCUACCAUGAGAACUUACUGAAGUUUAUCCACGUGUUACACUCCAACUGCUUCCUCCUGCCUAGGGAACAAGCCAAUCAUAACAAGGAAUUACAUCUUGUACGGACGCACAGCUGAAGGCUGCAGCAUGAGAUGCCACAGAACUCAUUUCAGAGCACCUGAGAAAGGAUCCAAAAAGGAUUUGGAAAGAUUUUUCCUUGUCGUCAGGUAACUCUCGGGCUAUUUGUACAAGGUUUUGUAUGCACCAUCCGAGACCGUGAAAUAACAAGAAGCUGAAAUGUAAACUUGCAUUCUUAGAUCACUCUCUCCAAGGUGUAUUAUGAAACACAACGUUUGUCAUCCGUGUCAACAACACACGAUUAGGGGCGGGAGCAGAAAACACACUGUGGGGAAAGCUGAAUGGCCACAAAGGACUACAGGAGGAAACAAACGUAAAGACUGAGCAAGAAUGGAUCAAACCUGUGAAAGCAAGUAGAUGGGAUACCCAGCAAAGCCCAUCUGACUGCCAGGCAGUCAGGGCAGCACAUCUGCCAUCACAGCACUGCCUCAGAGCCAGCUGCCUACUGGCACUUGGAGCUGUGGAGGGGACCUUGCAGCAAAGUGACUGCUGAGCGCCUUACUUGGACGGGGCACAGCGGAGGAUGGAGAUGCUGCACAGAGCCCUGCCUGCUCAGCAUUUUCCAAAGUGAGGCAGAUUGUUUUGCCACACCAUUACAAAUCUGGGAGCCUCCUUCUAGAUAGUCCUGUUUGGAAAUCUGGGCUGGGGCCUUUUAAAGACUUAGCAACUCCCUGGUUAAGCUUUUAAUAUCCACAUUAAAUAGAUCACUGAGCGUGUCCUGGUAUUCAGGAGAACAGUGGGCCAUUCUUGGCUAACGAGUAACUUCUACACAAAGAAAUCAUUUGGUACCUCUGUGCUUUUUCUCCUCCUGCUUUGCCUGUGCAUAGUGCAGUCUUUGAGGGAGGGACUGGUCCUUAACACAGCAAGCACCAGCUUCCUCUGUGCUCCUCAGUCCUCCACCAGCAGCAGCCUCUCAACCCAAGGGCUUCUGCGUAGGCUUGACUUUCACCCCGCUGUUCUACAGCAUUUUAUUAUUAAUCACUAUUUAAACUUCAAAUCUGCAGCCCUAAAUUCUGUAAUGCUAAAUUAUCCAUAUUCCAUGAUUGCUAAACACUUGCCCAAACAGGUGACUGGACAGGAUGCCCCAUGGGCUAGCCAUUGCUCUAGCAGCCCAGCACCAAGCUGUGAGUUUAAGGAGCUCCUCUAGCAGGGCAGCAGCAUUCCUCCAACCACCAGGAAUCAAAAGCCUCCAUGCACACAAGAAAGCUGCCUGCCUCAGUUCUGGUCCUCACAAUUCAAGGGGAGCAAAGCUGCUGAUCCCUUCGAAGCAUUUAAAGUCGGCAGAGAUGAGUGCAUCCUUGGGGCUGCACUUGGCCAAUUUUUACUUUUGCAAUUUUUGUUUGCCUUCGCUUCACGUAGCAGAGCUCUUAGCUAAUCAUGUGUCACUGGACUUCUGGAUUUAGAGACAAAGAAGUGGCUGGCCUGCUCUGUGCAAAUAGCUUUGGUGCUUGGCCACAGCGGGGCAUCUGGAAAGCAAACAGCACAUUUGACAUGGCUGUCAAGGAUCUAGAUACAAAUGGUACAAAUGACAGAAGUGUCUGUCCAUCCAUCUACCUGCCUGUUCAGGAAUGCCAAGAGCACCAGCCUACGGCAGGGCUGACUCUCUUGUUUGUGUCGUUCCUGUCCAUCUGACCUUGCUGUACCAGACAGGCUAUUUGUCAGUGCCAGCGAAAUCUGCCGCAACAACAGAGGGAAUAUCUGGUGUCAGUAUCCUCCAGCUUCUUGAUGGAAAUAUCUCAUUAGAGAAACUAAACCAGUGCUUUGAUUGCUCGAAAGGAAGCCAUUUGUUUUGCAGAAAUCUCCGAGCUGUUAUUCACUUCUUGUAAAACUAUAAUGCCUCAAGUCUUAUUCUAAAGCAGCCUUGGAUAGCUGGAAUGACUUGAAGUUUGCAACCAAUAAAAAAAUUUUACAGCAAAGCAGAGCUGAUCAGUGCUUCCUAAGUGCCGUAAUUAAUCUUUUCUGUCAAAAUGUCAUCAGAUUUUGCUGGAUUUAAGAAUAACAAAAUGUUUUAUUGGAGAAAGUAAUAAAACAGGACAUUUCCAUGGCUGCAGGGAUGUUUCAAAUGCGUUUGACAUUUGUAUCUUUUCCUGAGAAAAUUUGGAGCUGAAACCCUUAAUACACCUAGAGCAGGCAGUUCGUCCUGGAGCAGCCAGGUAUUUUGCCACAGUCGGCUUGGAGCUGCCUCAGACUUUGGCAGAGGACACCAAAUGUGAAGGGGAUGGCUGCUGUGCUGGUGUCCUACCUGAGGAAAGAAGCUCGUGGACUUGGCAUAUUGCAGCUGUAGCCCAUGUGAGGACACAACUGGAGAGUCACAAUACUAGAGACCUUUCCACCUCAUUCCUAUCCCUGCUACAUUUUGUAAAACUAGAUCUGGGUCACUCCUGUAAUGUUAAAUUUACUUUGAUCUGAAGAAAUUCUGGUGCCCAGUUCCCUUUAUUACCUCUUAAAAUCUUGAGCACUGUACAGAACAAACUAAAAACACAUACCAGCAACUUACCAGCGUUACACAGAAAGUGCCCGGAUGCUCUUCCAGAGCAGAAGGUUGGGGAUUUGGAUCAUGGAUAAGUCAAAAGGUGAAGAGAGGCUUUGUCUUAGCAUCACUCUCCCAAGAACACUCACACUACCUAUGACAGCUCAGCUAAUGCUUCUUAAUGUGCGGCUGUCAAUGGAAGCUUCAGCCAUCUGCGAUUCCUGCUUUCUUUCCCACAGUUUGUUCUCUGUCCAUCUUUCUUCCUCUUUGCUGCUGGCUUCCCCCUCUCCUGCUGCCCUGCAGAGUGUUUACUGCCGGGUAGUGGGAUUAUGACUUGCCAAUAAUCCAGAAGAUUAUGACAUCAGAGCACUCCAUCACAUCCAUUCAGCCUUUUCUGCUUUUUUCCCCUCAUAAGAUAAAGAGGAAAGUCAGACCAUUAGAACACACACAUUCUCCCAGCCUCUCCCGUGGCAUCACUGCUUCCCUGCUUACAUUUUUCCCUUUGCCUCCUGUGGACACGUUGGUCAAAAUAUACAUCACACUGUGUGCACACCGACAAAAUGCAUCACUGUGUGUCGGCAUGAGUUUCGUAUGCACAAAAUUUUGUGACACAGAGCUUCUUGUGCUGAUCAUAGACAUCAUAACUUUUCGGUUUGCUCGAAUGCAUUUCAUAGCUUUCUGUUUAAAAAUAGGGGAGGGGAAUUUUAUCCCCUUUUUUAACCAUCUUUAAAGUUUGUGAGAUACUUGUGCCUUGUGUUCCUCCUCAGUCCUUCAGUCUUCAUAAUGACUUCAUGCUAUGGUCUUAUUUUUGCAGUAAUGGCCAAUUGACAAUAUUCUGACAUUUUACAGGCUUGCAAAAUUCUCCUUCCUUCGGGAAACUGCUAAUUAUCAGAGUUGCCACAACAAACUAAUCCUGCAGAAAGAGGGCAAGGCACCGCAGUACAGACCUCAGUCAUGAGGAAGUUGGAAUGUGCAAGUAAUUCAUAUUUUUCACAAGUAUUGCUUUAUAAAACCUACCUUACGUUGUGCUUUGCUCUCUUAUGUAGUGCUCUCAGGAAGCUGCGUGGCAAUAUUCACCUUACCUGUUUUCUUGUCCUUACUAGUACAAAAUAAUAUUUAUACACACCACAUCGAGUUCACUAGCACUCGCUGUGGAUUAUGGUUAACAUACUGCAGUUAAUUUGCUGGCAUACCUAAUUAUACAACUGAAUACAUCCAGCAUUAAGUUAUAUCUACCUGACAGACAUUGAUGUGGCUGUUAAACAACACAGAAGCACCCAAGCUACCUUUAAAUGAAGCUCAGGCACUGCUACCAGCUUAGCCACGCCGAGCCAUAUGCACUGUAAAACCAGUCAGAAUAGUCCCAUAAAUAUCUGAGUUCCCAGCCUAUGCCAAGCCCUGGGUUACAAAACCAGAAUGCUACCAGUAAGCAGUUGGGAGGAAGGGAUGGUCACCCAGCUCAGAAUCCAGAUGGGCUCAUUUACAGCGCUGGCAGAGAUGUGCUGGGGUCUGAGAUGCUGGGCUAUGUACUGCAGUAUGAGACACUCAACCUUUUGUGCUACUUUUAUGCUGAUGUCAAUAAUGUCCAGCAAAAAACACUGGGGGAAGCACUGAUCAUUGGAAGCACCACAAUGAAAUGUGCUGGAGCCCUUGCUCUUGGAAGGGAGGAACUGGGAGAAUUACCAGCCAUAAAACAGAAAGCUAUCUGAUAACAAAAUGUCCCAGUGUAGUUCAGAAUCAAUAUUAAGUCACAGGUAAAUCAGAGACAGCAAAGCAACAAGCAAAACAGAAAGUCAUAAACCUUGAAGACCUGUGUAUUGGUCCAUAUCUAACAACAAAAGUUACCUUUUCCUGUAUAGCAUAUGAUUUAUAGAUGCCACAGGACAAGAGGCAUAACCUCACCACAGUACAUAGUGAGCCUUUCUAGCACACUUGGGGCAGGUUUAAUACAAGGGCAAGUAUUUACACUCUUCAUAUUCUGCGGGAAAAUUGAUUGUUUGCAUUGGCAUCACAUGUAGGAAGUAUUUCAGUGGGAUCAGGAUUGAUUCUGCUCCUGAGAAAUGGGAUCCUGCUAACAUCUGGGGGAAUAUUUGAGUAAGAUUUCUAAGGGGUCAGAUACUGUGAAAGACUUGGCAACAAGGAGUAACUGCACAUGAGCUUUACUCAUUUAGCAAAGCAGAGCAGUUAUCAGACACACAUGGGUUGUGGAAGGAUGGGGUUUUGAUGUGAAGGGUCUAAUACAGAGCUACAAAGAUGGACAAAGACGGGGAGCACUGGCUGGGCACAUUAUUCCUUACUGUAUCGCACAUGUUAAAUAAAAUAAGGCCCAGAGGGAAGCACUGCAGAGCAGUGGAAUUUAGGAAGACAUCAACGCUUUGCUGGCUAAGUCAAGUAUCAAGUGAUGCUUUUUUAUGGAUGGGUUUUUUUAUGCAUGAUUUCCUCCUACUGGCAGGGUGAUGACUAAGGACAGAUCUGAACAAAUAACACUGACCAGUUCUGUGCACAGACACGAACCUUCCAGCUGCAGUUGAUCCCUUCCCUGGCUGCUACUUUUAUGGCCUUGAGUACACCAGAGAAUCAACACUUCAGCUUUGCAGCACUCUUUGUCAUGUCAGGGUAAUUAAAAGGAUGCCACUGCACCUGGAAGAACUAUAAAAAUGUCCUUAUAAAAGCCUCAACAGUAUUUAAUAUUUUAUUCAUUGCGAUGUUGUUGUGUUUUGCCUGCAGUAAAACAGCCGCAAGGAAGCGAGGCACUACAGCUAAAGGCAAGCAAACAUUUUCUCAUCAACACAUUACUUGAGCUCAAAGGUUUUUUUGCCUUCCUAUUUUGAAUCCUUGUAUCUAACAACCUUCCUGCUUUCCAGAAAGAAAGAAAAUUACUUCGCUAGAAGCAAGAAACUCGGCAGAGUUUAAGCUUCCAUUCCUUUCAAAUGCGUGGAAAGGCUUCAAAACUUUACUUCCCAGGGAAACAUUUUUCAUCUUUUGGUCUCACAAUGCCUGAACUGCCUAGCAUAUAACGUUCUCUUCUGUCAGUGACUCAAGACCCAAAAGGAGAAAUAACGUUUAAUAUAUACAAAAGGACAUUGAUAUUUGUUUUAUAGAAGGUACUGCAAGCCAUGCUGCACAAGCAUAGACAUAGCAAUUAAGGGAAGAUUAUGAAGUUGCCAACACAACAUGUUCAAAGCCACACAAUUGGUUUCCAGAAUACAGGUUCAGUAUGUUCUUAUUUGUCUACACUUCUUGAUAUGCUGGGAAAUCAUCUGUUAUCAGCCUUGUUUUAUAAGCAUGGAGGCUGGAAACUUUGGUUGAAAUUCUUAGGUGAUAAGAACUCCAGAACACAGAUUCCAGAAAAUCACCACCAAGCCACAUGUCCUGCAGUAGAACUACACAUCUUGGCACCAUUCACAAAUGAAGUGAUGUUCCCAUACAUGAAGUUCCCCAUAAGCACACUGUUUUUCCAUCCACCAACCUUGUGUCAGAGAAAAAGGACUCUUUGUUUAAGAUUUACAGACAUCUUGCAGCACAAAGGGAAGCAAAAGCAGGCUGGGACAUCAAGAAGUCCCCACUACAUUCUGCAUACGCUCAGCUCAUACAUACAUACACACAGGAUGUCUGAUUCAUCCUAAUUCCUGAAUGUAAGUAGAGGAGUCCCAGGUGGAGAUUGUGCCAAGAGUGCUAUAAGCACCAUGACUAACAUCCAUCAUAUGUAGUUUGU